rnacentral:rRNA from 1 species
GAUGAACGCUGGCGGCGUGCCUAAUACAUGCAAGUCGAGCGAACAGACGAGGAGCUUGCUCCUCUGACGUUAGCGGCGGACGGGUGAGUAACACGUGGAUAACCUACCUAUAAGACUGGGAUAACUUCGGGAAACCGGAGCUAAUACCGGAUAAUAUAUUGAACCGCAUGGUUCAAUAGUGAAAGACGGUUUUGCUGUCAAUUAUAGAUGGAUCCGCGCCGCAUUAGCUAGUUGGUAAGGUAACGGCUUACCAAGGCAACGAUGCGUAGCCGACCUGAUAGGAUGGUCGGCCCCACUGGAACUGAGACACGGUCCAGACUCCUACGGGAGGCAGCAGUAGGGAAUCUUCCGCAAUGGGCUAAAGCCUGACGGAACAACGCCACGUGAGUUAUAAAGGUCUUCGGAUCGUAAUACUCUGUUAUUAGUGAAGAACAAAUGUGUAAGUAACUAUGCACUUCUUGACGGUACCUAAUCAGAAAGCCACGGCUAACUACGUG